GGCCCCGAGGUGUUUUACAUAUUGAAUUGCAAGUUCAGGGUAGUAGACUAACCCUCUGCCGGGGCUU
rnacentral:tRNA from 1 species